UACCUGGUUGUUCCUUCCAGUAGCAUAUGCUUUUCUCAAAGAUUAAGCCAUGCACGUGUAAGUACACACGGCCGGUACAGUGAAACUGUGAAUGGCUCAUUAAAUCAGUUGUGGUUCCUUUGAUCGCUCCAUCUUUUACCUGGAUAAGUGUGGUAAUUCUAGAACUAAUACAUGCUGAUGAGCACUGACCUCCUGGGAUGUGUGCAUUUAUUAGACCAAGACCAAUCCAGCUCCAAUAGCGUAUAUUAAAGUUGCUCUGCAGUUAAAAAUCUCAUAGUUGUAUCUUGGGAUCGAGCUGAUGACCUGCCGCAAGGUGAGCUACCAGCUGUCCCAGCACCUCCAUCUCGUUGCCCACUUCAUGCUUUUGAAUGAGUGUCCUGGGGUCCAAAGCGUUUACUUUGAAACAUUUAGAGUGUUCAAAGCGGGACGGUUGCCUCAAUACAGCUAGAAUAAUGGAAUGGGACUCUGGUUCUAUUUUGUUGGCUUUUCAGAAUUGGGGCCAUGAUUAAGAGGGACGGCUGGGGGCAUUUGUAUUGUGCCACUAGAGAUGAAAUCUUGGAUGGACCAAAGCGAAAGCAUUUGCCAAGAAUGUUUUCAUUAAUCAAGAAUGAAAGUCGGAGUUUCGAAGACGAUCAGAUACUGUAGUAGUUCCGACCACAAACAAUGCCAACAUAGCAAUUCAGCUGCAUUAUUCCCAUGACCUGCCAAGCGGCUUCCGGAAACCAAAGUCUCUUGGUUCCAGUGGGAGUAUGGUUGCAAAGCUGAAACUUAAAGGAAUUUAUGGAAGGGCAUCACAAGGAGUGGAGCGUGUGGCUUAAUUUGUAUCAACACGGGAAACCUCUCCCGGCCCAGACAUGGAAAGGAAUGACAGAUUGAUAGCUCUUUCUUGAUUCUUUGGGUGGUGGUGCAUGGCCGUUAUUAGUUGGUGGAAUGAUUUGUCCAGUUAAUUCCGAUAACGAAUGAGACUCCUCCAUGCUAACUAGGGUAUGUGACCCACUGUGGUCAGCUUUCAUCAUUUUAGAGGGGGAAAAGCGGUGUUCAGCCACACAAGAUCGAGCAAUGUCAUGUCUGUGAUGCCCUUAGAUGUCCAGGGCUGCACAAGCGCUACACUGAACAGAUCAGCGUGUUUCUGCCGUUUGCCGACAGGUACGGGUAACCUACUGAACUCUGUCCGUGACAGGGAUUGGGGAUUGCAAUUAUUUCCCAUGAACGAGGGAUUUUCAGUAAGUGUGGAACAUAAAGCUUGCGUUGAUUAAGUCCCUGCCCUUUGUACACAACGCCAUUGCCACUACCGAUUGGAUUGUUUAGUGGGAUCCUUGGACUGGCCCCACUGGCAUCGGCAACAGCCCUGGAGGAGUUCUGAGAAGACGAUCAAACUUGACUAUCUAGAGAAAGUAAUACUCGUAACACACAUUCAUAAGGUGAACUGAGGAGG
rnacentral:rRNA from 1 species